UGGGGAAUUUUGCACAAUGGGCGGAAGCCUGAUGCAGCGACGCCGUGUGGGGGAUGAAGGCCUUCGGGUUGUAAACUCCUUUCGUCAGGGACGAAGUUUGUUUGACGGUACCUGGAUAAGAAGCACCGGCUAACUACGUGCCAGCAGCCGCGGUAAUACGCAGGGUGCGAGCGUUGUCCGGAUUUACUGGGCGUAAAGGGCUCGUAGGUGGUGUGUUGCGUCGUCUGUGUAAUCCAGGGGCUUAACUUUUGGUUGGCAGGCGAUACGGGCAUUGCUUGAGUGCUGUAGGGGAGACUGGAAUUCCUGGUGUAGCGGUGAAAUGCGCAGAUAUCAGGAGGAACACCGAUGGCGAAGGCAGGUCUCUGGGCAGUUACUGACGCUGAGGAGCGAGAGCAUGGGUAGCGAACAGG
rnacentral:rRNA from 1 species